rnacentral:tRNA from 1 species
GCUUGGGUAGCUCAGUUGGUAGAGCGCUUGCCCGCCAAAGGCAAAGGUCCCGAGUUCGAGUCUCGGUCCGACUUACA